ACCAAGCUGAGCUGCCUCCCCAGAUGCAUAUCCCAUUCACACCCUAAGAAAGGGGCCUGCACCUCCAUAUAACUGGGGCUCAAGGGCUCCCUGUACACGUGAAAUGUGAAUCUUCCUACCCAGAUGCUAGGCUUGGCUUCAAUAAGACCUAGGGUAGUCUUGGCUUGGUGUGUCUCCCACGUCUUUGGCAUACACCUUGAAUACAAGCCUCCCACAUUCCAGGGAUAGGUACAGGGCAGGGACAUGCAUGCACCCUCAUUCUUUGCUUCCACACUCUCUCCAGUACAAACGCCCCAGCUUAGUGCCUGGCAGGGGUGUGGUUCUGUCUGUGCAAAACUCCCACUGUAUUGCGAGUCUCCUAGUAUUUGCCUUGCCCUGGGAGCUAUGAGGAUCAGCAUUUAGGAGGAACAAAUGAAGCCAGGCCCAUGCAUCUCACUCCAUGACUCUCUUAGCUGAAGGCUUGGUACUCACAUGGUAACAAAUAGACAGGAAGCUUUAAAAAAAAAUUCCUGUUUUUCCCUUGAAUGUUGAAUGUUGGCAUUCACUUUUUCUACCUAAGAUUUCUCUUUUCUCUCUUCUUCCCUGUUUCCAAUAGACCUUCAACACACACACACACACACACACACACACACACACACACACACACAAUGCUAUUUUUCAUGUACUCAACAGCAUUAUUAGGCUAUAAUUCAUAUGUGUGUGUUUUUCACUUGGCACUGGGACAUUUGAUCUCAUUAUUAAAAUCCGUGUAGAAUCAGAGGGCCUUAAAGUCAUAGAUGUAUGGGCCUAUAAUUACUACAGGGCAAAUUCACAGCCAUCCUGUCAGUUAAAAAAAAACAAAAAAA
rnacentral:lncRNA from 1 species